rnacentral:rRNA from 1 species
GACGAACGCUGGCGGUGUGCCUAAUACAUGCAAGUAGAACGCUGAAGCGAGGAGCUUGCUCUUCUUGGAUGAGUUGCGAACGGGUGAGUAACGCGUAGGUAGCCUGCCUGGUAGCGGGGGAUAACUAUUGGAAACGAUAGCUAAUACCGCAUAAAAUUGAUUAUUGCAUGAUAAUUAAUUGAAAGAUGCAACUGCAUCACUACCAGAUGGACCUGCGCUGUAUUAGCUAGUUGGUGAGGUAACGGCUCACCAAGGCGACGAUACAUAGCCGACCUGAGAGGGUGAUCGGCCACACUGGGACUGAGACACGGCCCAGACUCCUACGGGAGGCAGCAGUAGGGAAUCUUCGGCAAUGGGGGGAACCCUGACCGAGCAACGCCGCGUGAGUGAAGAAGGUUUUCGGAUCGUAAAGCUCUGUUGUAAGAGAAGAACGGGUGUGAGAGUGGAAAGUUCACACUGUGACGGUAUCUUACCAGAAAGGGACGGCUAACUACGUG